AGAGAAAGCAGACCUAAGCAAUAUGAUUCUCACUCCAUUCCCCUAACCAUAUGCCUGCUCACCUUCAGCCAAAUUUGUCUGUGGCAUAUAUUGGAAUUCUGAAAGGGUGCUUUUAGAAGAAAUGAAUUUUUUUUUAAUGAAAAGGAGAAAACACCAAUUGAGACUAAUGUCUUUACGUAAGAGGAAGAAGUACAAGUCUCAGAAUGGAGCAGGGCUUCUUCAGCGUCGCCUCUUACAGAGGCAGGGUGGACAGGACAAGGACUCUCAGCUCUGGUCUCAAUUAUCCCUCCUCCCGGCUGCAGUUACAUGGUAAGAACUGAGAUAACACCGAAACUGGAUUCUUUCACGGGAAAGGCAGAGAAAUCAGCCUGCACAAGUAGACAAGAACUGCAUCCUCGGGAAGAGUCCAUGAUGGGGCUGCAGACACAGGCAGAGAGCAGCUUGGGUGUUGUGUGUGUGUAUGAUGGUGAAAUGGUUUCAAGAGGCAGAUGACCAAGAUAGCUGCUCCAGCUCUGACUCAAACAAUCUCUUUAAGCAGAGAGUGACCAAACUGAGAAGCAACUAGAUGGCUACACAUGUCCUUAGUGAAUCCUCCCCCUCCCCUGCUUUCUGCAUGGUCUAAAACUCUAUCCAGAGAGCUACCCUCAUAGGUAGGCUCCCCUGAAUAAAUCUUUGACCAUCUACCAACCUGGAGCAAUCUCCUUCUUUGAUCUGAACUUUACCUCUGCUGACAGAGGAUGGUUCUCAGAUGCAUCCAGGGAGCUUUCUGAACACGGCAUCACAAGCAGGAUGCUGGGCACCUCCUUCUGCUUCACUAUAUUAUGUCUGCAGCCUUCCAUUAAAUGACAACUAACGGGGAGUCAAGGGUAGACAGUACUCAAUUGACAGCAGGAGAUUCAGAAUUACAGGAGAAGCCUAGCUGCAGCUGCCAUACCUAGGUAACUUUCUUUAAAGUUGUUGUUUUGAUUUUGGUACCAGGAACUGAACCCAGGAGUGCUUAACCACUGAGCAACUUCUCUAACCCUUUUUUUUUUAAUUUAUUUUUAAUUUUGAGACAGGGUCUUGCUAAAUUGCUUAGGGCUUCACUAAUUUUCUGAGGCUGGCUUUGGACUUACAAUCCUCCUGCUUCAGCCUCCUGAGUCACUGGGAUUAUAGGUGUGCAUCAUGGUGUCCAGCUUCAAUGUUGUUUUUCAUAUAAAGUUGUUUUCCAAUUAACUUCUUAAGAUUUUCUUGGAAGUUCCUGGGAGAGAGAGAGAGGUAAGUUCAUACAGCUUCAAACUAGUAUGAACCAUUCCACCAGGCAGAAGACAUCAGAGAGCAGGCUACAUAUAUGAUAAAGUUAACCUCAUUUUAAUGCUAAAAUCUUCAGCCAAGGAGGGCCAAUGCCUCACUUCUGUAACAUCAAACUAUAGCAUGUUGUUAAAAUGCAGCUGUGCACCUGUGUAUAUGAUCAUGUUUCUACCCCUUUGAAUAAGCAUUCUCUGUUCAGAUGAAUUUACCCACCUUUUCUAAAUUCAGGGGGUCAUGGCUUUGGAAUUGAUUCCUCAUGGUCUCAUGAUUUGCUGCAAAUAAACUAUUUUGUGCAACAGGCAUUCUUGGUGUUUGCUUCCCACCAAGAGGCAAACUCAAGGAAUCUUGUAACAAACUGUUAAGCUUGUGGUACCAAACAUUCCCUUAUGAGGUGGAAGCUCUGGUCAUGCCUGAUCAUGCCUGGUCAUGUGGAUUCAAGGGCUGUGUUUUGUAAUAGAAACAGUCCUGGUCUUAGAAGGGAAAAUCUUAGGUCCUGUUGGAGUUUGAGAACUUGUGGCCUUUCAAGAAUUCUUCUUUUAGCAUGAGAAGAAGAUUAACAUUAAAC
rnacentral:lncRNA from 1 species